rnacentral:rRNA from 1 species
AACGAACGCUGGCGGCAGGCCUAACACAUGCAAGUCGAGCGAACCCUUCGGGGUUAGCGGCGGACGGGUUAGUAACGCGUGGGAAUAUACCCUUUGGUACGGAAUAGCCUCGGGAAACUGAGAGUAAUACCGUAUGUGCCCUUCGGGGAAAGAUUUAUCGCCAAAGGAUUAGCCCGCGUUGGAUUAGAUAGUUGGUGGGGUAAUGGCCUACCAAGUCUACGAUCCAUAGCUGGUUUGAGAGGAUGAUCAGUAACACUGGGACUGAGACAUGGCCCAGACUCCUACGGGAGGCAGCAGUGGGGAAUCUUAGACAAUGGGCGCAAGCCUGAUCUAGCCAUGCCGCGUGGACGAUGAAGGCCUUAGGGUUGUAAAGUCCUUUCAGAUGGGAAGAUAAUGACGGUACCAUCAGAAGAAGCCCCGGCUAACUCCGUG